GAUGAACGCUGGCGGCGUGCCUAAUACAUGCAAGUCGAGCGAACGGACGAGAAGCUUGCUUCUCUGAUGUUAGCGGCGGACGGGUGAGUAACACGUGGAUAACCUACCUAUAAGACUGGGAUAACUUCGGGAAACCGGAGCUAAUACCGGAUAAUAUUUUGAACCGCAUGGUUCAAAAGUGAAAGACGGUCUUGCUGUCACUUAUAGAUGGAUCCGCGCUGCAUUAGCUAGUUGGUAAGGUAACGGCUUACCAAGGCAACGAUGCAUAGCCGACCUGAGAGGCGGGGAGGCGACACGGGAGGGGGGACGGGGACCGUGGUACGGAGAGAGGGCGCAGAAGCGGAGGGGCGGCAGUAGGCGGGAGCAUGACAAAGCAGGGCGGAGUGAGAGGUAAAGGUGUUCGGAGCGUGAAAAUCUCUUAUGGGGGAAGAACAGAUGUGGAAGGAGCUGAAGACAUCGUGACGGUAACGGAUAAGAAAGCAACGGCUAACUACGUG
rnacentral:rRNA from 1 species